UGAUCGAUGACGAUCGUUUCCUUCGACGCGAUCAUCAUCACGGAUGCGGAUCUCUCUCUUCGAUUUCCUGCAUCUUGGGGAGAAGGAGAAGAUGACUGACCUGUUUUCUUUUUCUCUUCGGUCAAUUGAUCAGUGCGUUCAUCAACCAGGGCUUCAAGAUUAUUCGCAUAUUUUUCCAUCAUCGCCAUCAUAUUGUCAAAGAUAUUCGCUUUCCUGCAAAAAUAUUGCAAGCAAGUCGUGUCCACAUUUUCAAUCACGAUGAAUACGAGAAAUGGAUUGGACAUCUCAGGAAUAAAACUCGUUGCAUCGCAAGAGAAUUGUUGCUUCUUUUGCACCGUAAUGAGUUCCGAUCGAUUCAUUAAUUGGCAUUAACAUAUAUAAUCAGCAAAGUGCUUUUAUGUUACCGUAUGAAAGUUUUCUUUCCCCUUUUCCAGCAAUA